rnacentral:rRNA from 1 species
GACGAACGCUGGCGGCGUGCCUAACACAUGCAAGUCGAGCGGAGAUAGGCGGAAGGUAACUGAAGCUUAUCUUAGCGGCGGACGGGUGAGUAACACGUGGGCAACCUGCCUUGAAGUGGGGGAUAACACCGGGAAAUCGGUGCUAAUACCGCAUAACAUACACAAACUGCAUGGUGAGUGUAUCAAAGGAGCAAUCCGCUUUAAGAUGGGCCCGCGGCUGAUUAGCUAGUUGGUGGGGUAGUGGCCUACCAAGGCAACGAUCAGUAGCCGGCCUGAGAGGGUGGACGGCCACACUGGGACUGAGACACGGCCCAGACUCCUACGGGAGGCAGCAGUGGGGAAUAUUGCGCAAUGGGGGAAACCCUGACGCAGCGACGCCGCGUGAGCGAAGAAGGCCUUAGGGUCGUAAAGCUCUGUUGUAAGGGCGAAUGUUUAUCUGACGAACAGUCAGAUAAAGUGACGGUACCUUACCAGCAAGCCCCGGCUAACUACGUGCCAGCA